UGAAGAUUUUACCAGCUGUUUUUCACACAGGUCUGACCCCCUCUGAGGUCAUGGUGUAGGCCCACAGUUCAACAACAUGUAGUCAUGGCAACAUUUGGAUGUGCACAACAUAAUGUUUGUGAUAUUGUCUCAUCAGCUACAGGAUUGAUAAAAGCAACACCUCUAAACCUCCUACAGUCAGUUUGAUGACUGUAUUGAUAAAGAAACACCAUGUCAGGUAUUGUUCAUGUUAGUGAUUAACUGUAGGGGGACCUACAGCACCACCUAUACAACCAUGUACAUACAGAUCAUUUGAAUACAGUGACACUCCCACCUUCAACUCCUCAUGUCUCUGUAACUAAGAGACUCAGGCGGCUUCUGUCUCACAGAACAUGGACAUCAUCAUCAUCAAACAAGACCUCCUCAUAUUGUCAGUCUUUUUGCUGUGGACUUCAGGUACUACUGAUGGCAAUGAUGUUAACCAGACCCCCAUACUGUGGAAAGACAAGGGUGACAAUGCAACAAUACACUGCAACCACACCAAGGGUGCUGCCUACUCCCAGAUGUACUGGUACAGACAGCUGCCUGGAGAAAAUAUGGAACUAAUUGUGUUCACAACAACAUCUAAAAACGACUUUGGAGAUUUCGACAAAAAGAAAUUCUCAGCCACCAGACCUGGUGCUGAGAGCGGGACAUUCACAGUAGAGAAUCUGGAGCCUGGAGAUCAAGGCUUGUAUUUCUGUGCUGUGAGUCAACACAGUGAUACAGACACAUGUGGAAGCUGA